ACUAAGCCAUGCGAGUCGAAUGUAGCAAUACAUGGCGUACUGCUCAGUAACACGUGGACAACCUACCCUCCGGACGGGUAUAAACCCGGGAAACUGGGUAUAAUCCCCGAUAGAUCUCGGUCGCUGGAAAGCCCCGAGAUCGAAAGCUCCGGCGCCAGAGGAUGGGUCUGCGGCCUAUCAGGUAGUAGUGGGUGUAGCGUACCUACUAGCCUACGACGGGUACGGGUUGUGAGAGCAAGAGCCCGGAGAUGGAUUCUGAGACACGAAUCCAGGCCCUACGGGGUGCAGCAGGCGCGAAAACUUUACAAUGCCGGCAACGGCGAUAAGGGGACCUCGAGUGCCAGGUUACAAAUCUGGCUGUCGUGAUGCCUAAAAAGCAUUGCAUAGCAAGGGCCGGGCAAGCCUGGUGUCAGCCGCCGCGGUAAUACCAGCUCCGCGAGUGGUCGGGACGAUUAUUGGGCCUAAAGCGUUCGUAGCCGGCCUUACAAGUCUCUGGUUAAAUUUCAAGGCUUAACCUUGAGCGUGCUGGAGAUACUGUUAGGCUAGGGGGCGGGAGAGGUUGAGGGUACUUCACGGGUAGGGGCGAAAUCCUAUAAUCCGUGAAGGACCACCAGUGGCGAAGGCGCUCAACUGGAACGCGCCCGACGGUGAGGGACGAAAGCCAGGGGAGCAAAGGGGAUUAGAUACCCCCGUAGUCCUGGCUGUAAACGAUGCGGGCUAGGUGUUGGGUUGGCUUCGUGCCAACCCGGUGCCGCAGCGAAGGCGAUAAGCCCGCCGCCUGGGAAGUACGGCUGCAAGG
rnacentral:rRNA from 1 species